GCAAGCGUUGUUCGGAAUUCCUGGGCGUAAAGGGCUCGUAGGCGGCCAACUAAGUCAUACGUGAAAUCCCUCGGCUUAACCGGGGAACUGCGUCUGAUACUGGAUGGCUUGAGUUCGGGAGAGGGAUGCGGAAUUCCAGGUGUAGCGGUGAAAUGCGUAGAUAUCUGGAGGAACACCGGUGGCGAAGGCGGCAUCCUGGACCGAUACUGACGCUGAGGAGCGAAAGCCAGGGGAGCAAACGGG
rnacentral:rRNA from 1 species